CACCGGUGGCCCGAGUGGUGAUCGUGAUUAUUGGGUCUAAAGGGUCCGUAGCCGGUUUGGUCAGUCCUCCGGGAAAUCUGAUAGCUCAACUAUUAGGCUUUCGGGGGAUACUGCCAGACUUGGAACCGGGAGAGGUAAGAGGUACUACAGGGGUAGGAGUGAAAUCUUGUAAUCCCUGUGGGACCACCUGUGGCGAAGGCGUCUUACCAGAACGGGUUCGACGGUGAGGGACGAAAGCUGGGGGCACGAACCGGAUUAGAUACCCGGGUAGUCCCAGCCGUAAACGAUGCUCGCUAGGUGUCAGACAUGGCGCGACCGUGUCUGGUGCCGCAGGGAAGCCGUGAAGCGAGCCACCUGGGAAGUACGGCCGCAAGGCUGAAACUUAAAGGAAUUGGCGGGGGAGCGCAACAACGGGUGGAGCCUGCGGUUC
rnacentral:rRNA from 1 species